rnacentral:rRNA from 1 species
AUUGAACGCUGGCGGCAUGCCUAACACAUGCAAGUCGAACGGUAACGCGGGGGCAACCCUGGCGACGAGUGGCGGACGGGUGAGUAAUACAUCGGAACGUGCCCAGUAGUGGGGGAUAGCCCGGCGAAAGCCGGAUUAAUACCGCAUACGACCUACGGGUGAAAGCGGGGGAUCGCAAGACCUCGCGCUAUUGGAGCGGCCGAUGUCAGAUUAGCUAGUUGGUGGGGUAAAAGCCUACCAAGGCGACGAUCUGUAGCUGGUCUGAGAGGACGACCAGCCACACUGGGACUGAGACACGGCCCAGACUCCUACGGGAGGCAGCAGUGGGAAUUUUGGACAAUGGGGGCAACCCUGAUCCAGCCAUGCCGCGUGCGGG